rnacentral:lncRNA from 1 species
GGGUGGUGGCCUUAAGUGAACACGAGUGACUCCUGCUAACUACAGAUUGUCAUGAACGGGAUUGAAAACUGAAAGCCGUUAGCUCUAACGCGGCAUAACUUCUCCUUCCCCGAAGGCAUUGCCUUUUGGCACUCGGGAGACAAGAUGCAGGUUCCGUCUCAGAAGUAAUGGCUGGAUCCCUGAAAGCCAACGGGCUCGGUGUGGUCCACCCGUCAGAAGGCAUAGGUAGAUGGUGGGCAUCUGCCUCAGACAUAGUUCUCAAGUUCAGCCAGAAGAAUGCGCGUUGAGCCCUCUGCAGCCCGUGUCGACGGAGGUGUUGUCUCCAGGAAGCAUCAUGGAAAGGCGUGGUGGUGCACAAGGGCCUUCAGGAUGCCUGCGCCUGGUGACGGCUGCGCCUCAGGUUCUGGGCCUGACUCGGAAGGGUGCCUGUGAGCAGAAGAGCUGGCACGCGCAGCUCAGUGGACCAUCAGUGCCAACCCGUCCUGUACCCUGGCUGAGGGGUGUGCUAAGUGGCAGGCAAGUUUCAGCAGGAUUUUUUCGUUUCUUCGCUAGGUUUGUAGCUCUCUUGUGACAGACAAGCGAUUGUCACUGGUUGAGCUGAGGAUGAUUUAAGUUAUCCCUGUCUGAAAUGACACUUUCUGAAGAGUCAUGGUUUACUGAGGCUCGACUUUUAAGACCUAUUUUGAGAAUGUCCACAGUAAGAUUGCUUCUGUUAGAGUGAGGUGUGUUGUCUUCGUUACUCAGAUUCCCGGUUGGCUCAUCGUAAGGCGUGGCACAAAAUCACCAUCGAAAGAAAGGGCCUUCGGGAUGCCUCUAUCUGGUUAUUGCCCUGUAGUGCCAGAGAGAACCACAUAGCCUGCUGCUGCUCCUGCCUUUAAUUUCCCAAAGAGUCAUCAGACGACCUUGGAGUUUGUUCUGCAAGAGGAGCCAGUAAGGCCUCGUGACUGUGGUCACCCUCGGAAGCCUUUGACAGCUAGCUGGUGAGGGCGCUCAGUCGGAGGCCCUGGGGAGGCCCCUGCUAAGCCGAGAAAAGCAUUUCUCACAGUGGAUUUCCUGGAAGUCAGGGUUGGCCUUUGUAUUUUGAAGCACAAAUAAACUUUAUAAAAUUUA